UACGGAGGGUGCGAGUCGUUGAUUCGGAAUCAGCUAGGGCGUAAAGGGCGUGUAGGCGGUCCGCUAAGUCUGAUGUGAAAAGCCCGGGGCUCACCCCCGGAAGGGCAUUGGAAACUGACGGACUCGAGUCCCGAAGAGGAGGGUGGAAGUUCCGUGGUGUAGCGGUGAAAUGACGUAGAUAUCAGGAGGAACACCGGUGGCGAAGGCGGCCCUCUGGACGGUGACUGACGCUGAGACGCGAAAGCGUGGGGAGCAAACAGG
rnacentral:rRNA from 1 species